GCUGGGCCCUUUGGCACAUGCCUAUAAUCCCUGCACGAUGGGAGGCAGAGGUAGGUGGAGCUCUGCAAGUUUGAGGCCAGCCUGGUCUACAAAGCAAGUCCAGGACAGCCAGGGCUACACAGCGAAACCCUGUCUUG
rnacentral:sRNA from 1 species